rnacentral:rRNA from 1 species
CCUACGGGUGACAGCAGUGGGGGAUAUUGCACAAUGGGGGGAACCCUGAUGCAGCGACGCCGCGUGGGUGAAGAAGCGCCUCGGCGCGUAAAGCCCUGUCAGCAGGGAAGAAAAUGACGGUACCUGAAGAAGAAGCCCCGGCUAACUACGUGCCAGCAGCCGCGGUAAUACGUAGGGGGCAAGCGUUAUCCGGAUUUACUGGGUGUAAAGGGGGCGCAGACGGCGAUGCAAGCCAGGAGGGAAAGCCCGGGGCCCAACCCCGGGACUGCUGUUGAAACUGGAUGGCUGGAGUACGAGAGGGGAAGGCGGAAUGCCGGGGGUAGCGGGGAAAUGCGUAGAUAUUGGGAGGAACACCGGUGGCGAAGGCGGCAUGCUGGAUUGACACUGACGUGGAGGCCCGAAGGCGUGGGUAGCAAACAGGAUUAGAUACCCGAGUAGUC